CGCAGAGAGAACGCGAGUGGGUGUGGUGGUGUAGUUGACCUUGGUCCUGCACCUGGCAGUUAUGCAACCAAAGGAUGAUUCUGUUCAAAGUCUUGGCGGGAAAAGUGGAAGUUGCAGACUUACCUACACAGUGCCGACUUGAAAAGCCUCUCUGCAAGUUCAGCUACACUCUUUAAGGGUGGGUGAAGGAUGUCUUGAAGGAGUUGCUGCUCGUCUCAUGGACACGGCAGCCCAGCAGUUUUGCCAUUGCAACAUUUGCAGCAAGGGAAUCACAAACGAUGGCAACUACAUCGAGUGGACAUUCGGUGCUGCUGUGAGAUCCUUGGUAUGGCUGUGUGCAGCACUGUUAUACUUGGUGGAAGCACUUGAAGUGCUAGCGAAAAAUAUUGACAAUUAUCCUUGUCUGCAUCACUAUUCGUGCAAAGCCUCCCUCAUCUAUGUGGCACGUACCAUAGCUUUAUAUUGAAUUCUUCCUUUAUUAUUUCACAAGGUGUUUGAUAUGUACAGAUGUGAUCUAUAUUUUUG